CGAGCACGCGCGUGUGGCAUAUCAAUAAGCGGAGGAAAAGAAACUAACAAGGAUUCCCUUAGUAACGGCGAGUGAAGCGGGAAGAGCUCAAAUUUGAAAUCUUCAAGGUUCUACCUUGACGAAUUGUAGUUUAUAGAAGUGUUUUCUGUUAGUAGAGUGGCAAAAGUUCUUUGGAAUAGGACAUCAUAGAGGGUGAGAAUCCCGUAUUUGGUCAUUCCUCCUAGCGUUGUGAUACACUUUCAACGAGUCGGAUUGUUUGGGAAUGCAGUCCAAAAUGGGUGGUAAAUUUCAUCUAAAGCUAAAUAUUGGCGAGAGACCGAUAGCGAACAAGUACCGUGAGGGAAAGAUGAAAAGAACUUUGAAAAGAGAGUUAAACAGUACGUGAAAUUGUCAAAAGGGAAGCGUUUGACACCAGUGUUGUUUUUCCGAAAAUCAAUUACGAAUGUUUUAGUUUUUGAAGAAGUUAUGACUUCAUCGGCUUGCUUCUCUCUUUAUGAAACUUUCUUAAUGCACUUUUCGGUUAACAAGUCAACAUCAAUUUCUUUUGUUGUAAAAGGGUAUGAGGAAGGUGGCUUUCUUUUCGGAGAAAGUGUUUAUAGCCUUGUACCUCUGCAAUCGGAGAGAUUGAGGUCUGCAGCGUAGAUCCUUCGGGGUUAGAUACAUUUGUGCUAAGUUAUAGCUUUUCAUAGACAACUUGUUGACUAUGUUUAGUCUUGUAGCUUACUCGCUGAUGCUAUUUUACCUACGCUUAGGAUGUUGAUGUGAUACUGCGAGC
rnacentral:rRNA from 1 species